CCUACGGGAGGCAGCAGUGAGGAAUAUUGGUCAAUGGGCGGAAGCCUGAACCAGCCAAGUAGCGUGCGGGAUGAAGGCCCUACGGGUCGUAAACCGCUUUUGCACGGGGACAACACCCUCCACUUGUGGAGGUCUGCAGGUACCGUGCGAAUAAGGGCCGGCUAAUUCCGUUCCAGCAGCCGCGGUAAUACGGAGGGCCAGAGUGUUAUCCGGAUUCAUUGGGCUAAAAGGGAGCGUAGGCGGGCGUUCAAGUCAGCUGUAAAAGCGCGCGGCUCAACCGCGCCCCGCAGUUGAAACUGGACGCCUUGAGUUCACAACAGGCAGGCGGAAUUCGUGGUGUAGCGGUGAAAUGCAUAGAUAUCACGAGGAACCCCGAUUGCGAAGGCAGCCUGCCGGGGUGCGACUGACGCUGAGGCUCGAAGGUGCGGGUAUCAAACAGGAUUAGAUACCCGGGUAGUC
rnacentral:rRNA from 1 species